CUCCUGGGUGAUGCAGAUGCCGUUAGGCAGUUGAAUGUGCUUGUGUAUUCUGCCUGUUUCCCUCCCUUCUACCCCUCCUCCAUGUGGCCACAGGCACUGGCAACCCAUGCUCUGCCACUGCUCCUGGCACCUCCAGGUAAGUCUCAGAAGACUCUGUCUGAAAUCUUGGAGAGCUGCUGGCACUCAGAGUCAUAGCUGUCAACUGUCCCUUAUUUAGCGGGAAACUCCCUUAUCCCAGCGCUAUGUCCCGCUGCUGUCCCUUAUUGAUGAUAUCCCUUAAAUUUCCCGGGUUUCAAAGGAAGGAGCUCCUCUCCCUCCCUCCCUCCCUGCUGGCCAGGGAGGAGGGAGGCUCCAUCUGUGUUGCUUGGCUGCGUUGCUCACCCAAUAAGGAGUCUAAGAAUGACUGGGGGGUGGAGCUUGCAUGCCUUGUGCCGAUCAAAUCGGCUGUGUUGCCUGGGGACUCGCCUUUGCUCAGCGCUUCCCAGUGGAGAGGUGACGGUGGUUUUCUUUGAGGCUUGAGGCUUUGUUUGGCUGCUGGCUGGGCUUUCUGCCUUUGGCUCGGAGGGGUUCAGAAGUUGAACAUACCUGUGCUGAGUGCUCGGAUCGGAAUCGGAUGGAUAUGUCAUCGAAUCGACAGCCCACUCAGCCUUGCCGGGGAAAAGGUCUGUCUGGAGUGGGGGCACAUGGUGGGGGAAAAGGAAAGGAGCUGGUUGAGUACAAUGGCGGGCGGUGACCUCGUGGGAGGGGGCGCUUUUGGAUUUGUUUUGGAGACCCCUUCAGUUGACUGUUAUGGGGAAAACGAAAGAAGCUGGUUGACUAAAAUCCUUAUUUUAGCUGCUGAUCCAUUAUUUUCGAGGCUGCUGGUCCCUUAUUUUCAAAUCUGUAAGUUGGCAGCUAUGGUCAGAGUGUACAAUACUGAGCUAGGUGGUCCAGUCUUUUGUGGGUAUAAUGUAGCUUCCUAGAUGGGACUGAUGGCAAAGUUUUAUGAGGAAAAUUUAUCCAGCUGUUAAAGAACUCAGGGAUGCCUACAGCUUCUGUCUCCCGGCAAAAUAGGAUAUAUUCAGAAGAUUCAGAAUACCAAUCUAAGUAGCAAAUGUAAAUUGGAUAGGAACAGAACCUCAGCUCCACAGGGGAAGAUUAAAACCCUGGCCAAUGCAGACAUCACACACAGACUGUCUGUGUUCUGGCCAGAGGGCGACAUACUGUACCAAUGGCUGAUGCUAUUAUUCUCUGUGUUAAUGAGCAAGGAGCAUUGAUAAUCUGCACAAGCUUGGGGGGAACAAACCCACUUGAAAUAUUUGAAGGCUUGCCACAUAAUGUCAACAUGACAGCAAAUGCAUUUGGUGUAUAUUCAGUGAUCAAAAGAGAGGCUUCCGUAAGAAAAUGUCACUUGCUAGUCAAACAAAUUGGAAGUGCAAAAAGAAGCCGCCUCAAAAUAAAGGGAUUUACCUCAAAUUCUGAGAGACAGGACAUGCAAGCAGGGAGAACGCUCUUAAGUACCUAGCAAAUCACCUGCUCUUCUAACUUCAUUUCUCUGCAGAAUAACUGUAUCAGGUGUUCGUGUGUCCUAGGAGUUCAGAAUCCUACUAAUCACAGGGGCUUUGUUAGCAUUUCACUCCUCUGUUGCUGGAUGUAUGAUUGUUAUAUCACAUGUCAGUGUUUACUUUCUAGGCUUGGAAAGUAUGAGAACAGAAGUCAGUCUUAUCUCUCUUCCGCUGUACUGUACUUUUGGAAAAGAAGUGAGAGGAUGCCAUGAUUGCUUUGUCCUGUAUAUAAAGGUAAAGGGACUCCUGACCAUUAGGUCCAGUCGUGUGCCCCCCAGGUGUGUUCCAACAGGCUCAAGGGGGUUUCCAGGAUGUGCUUCCUGCCCCCUCACCAUUUUCUGCACCCUCCACAAGUUGGAGUGAGACCUUCUGAAGUGGUCAGCCUACUCCAGUCAUGUAGGUCCUCCACACAUUUCAGAACCCUGGAAACAGAAAUGAACAAGAGAAUCAACAAGGGUUAAAAGUUGUUAUUAUUAUUAUUAUUAUUAUUAUUAUUAUUAUUAUUACCCUGCCCAUCUGGCUGGGUUUCCCUAGCCACUCUGGGCGGCUCCCAACAGAAUAUUAAAAACACGAUAAAACAUCAAACAUUAAAACCUCCAUAAACAGGGCUGCCUUCUAUGUCUUCUAAAAGUCAGAUAGUCAUUUAUUUCUUUGACAUCUGAUGGGAGGGUGUUCCACAGGGUGGGCACCACUACCGAGAAGGCCCUCUGCCUCGUUCCCAGUAACCUCACUUUUCACAGUGAGGGAACCACCAGAAGGCUCUCAGAGCUGGACCUCAGUGUCCAAACUGAACGAUGGGGGUGGAGAAGCUCCUUCAAGUAUACUGGGCCGAGGCCGUUUAGGGCUUUAAAGGUCACCACCAACACUUUGCAUUGUGCUUGGAAACGUACUGGGAGCCAGUGUAGGUCUUUCAGGACAGGCGUUAUAUGGUCUCGGUGACCACUCCCAGUCACCAGUCUAGCUGCCGCAUUAUCCAACACAGGAAAAGUUUCCUGUGUUGAGGUAACCACCUGAGGAAUGGACCAUUAGGACUGCAAUGGGUCAAAGGAACUCACCAUAGACAGCAAAGAGGCGAGGCCCCUUUCGCUCAAGAGAUAAAGCUAAGAGCUUAGAGAAGAGGGGGAAAGAGCAAUGUGGGCCAGAAACUUAGAGAGCAGGGGUUAUGUGACAAGAAGAAAGCAGGAGGCAGAGAAAUGAUGGAGGUCUGUUGAAACCCAAGACUGCUCCUAUGGUAGAAGCAAGACUCUCUCGGGAUGUGAGAGUAGCUCAGGUUGUAUAUGUGUGCAAAUAAACCAUAUAUCUGAAAGACACCACAGUCUCAUUUUGCCUAAAGGAAGCACAGACUUGAAUAAUUGUUGCCUGAAAGAGAUUAGAGAUUAGGGUGGCUUGUAACAAUGUUGUUGUUUAGUCGUUUAGUCGUAUCCGACUCUUCGUGACCCCAUGGACCAGAGCACGCCAGGCACUCCUGUCUUCCACUGCCUCCCGCAGUUUGGUCAGACUCAUGUUCAUAGCUUUGAGAACACUGUCCAACCAUCUCGUCCUCUGUCGUCCCCUUCUCCUUGUGCCCUCCAUCUUUCCCAACAUCAGGGUCUUUUCCAGGGAGUCUUCUCUUCUCAUGAGGUGGCCAAAGUAUUGGAGCGUCAGCUUCAGGAUCUGUCCUUCCAGUGAGAACUCAGGGCUAAUUUCCUUAAGAAUGGAUGGAAAUUAGCCCUGAGUGCUCACUGGAAGGACAGAUCCUGAAGCUGAGGCUCCAAUACUUGUAACAAUAUGUUAUCCAAAUUAUAAAUGCUCGGUGGACAGUCUUUCUGGCUGAAUGCUGUUUCAUUAAGAAAUAUAUGCUAAUAUGUUAAAAAAGAGAAAUAAUCCUUAAUUUGUGGUUUUUGGGGUGUGUGUGUGUGUGUGUGUGUGUGUGUGUGUGUGUUUUAGUAUCCCUUACAAUCAUCUUGAUUAAUUCAUCCCUAUUCCUUAAGUAAUGACACUUUAUAGGAGAGCAAAGUCUCUUGUUGUCACUACUUGCUAGUAACGAACAUGCUGAUCAACAUGCUAAUUACAGGGGUUCUUUUUUAACAGUCUUUUUUAUCAUUCUCAAAUGAAUAAUGCGCAGCAGCUGUGACAUUGAACAAGGGUGCUAUAAUUGCAAUAACCAAAGCAAGAGAGAAAUUGUUUAAUAGUCUCAUAAAAUGCGUAGCCUCCUUCCAGGACAGAUUUUUCUUGCCCUGCCUGUGAUUUAGGAGCCAUCCGCCAGUGUUCAGAUUCUCAUUCAUGCUAUUGGACUGAGCAGCUUGCAUCGACACAGGUUUGGAACUCGGUGGUGCCAUAUUCAGCAGUUAGGGCUUCCUGGCGCCAUCUGCCCAACAUUACAGAAGCGUCCCCAAAAUUUGUCCCGCCGUCCUCGUUCCUGUACCUGCCUGAUUUGUCAAAGAAUACCAUUGGCUUUUGUGUUCCUUCAGCUGAUGUUUUCCAUCUGAGUCACAGUAAGGCAUAGGGAUGUGGGGGUGCUUUGAAAUGAUCACAAAAACAGAGGUAUCUCGCUUUCAAAUUCAAUAUAUGGCAGACGUCUACUUUCAUAAUACAUGAAAACAAGAGACAAAAGUGAUAUCUAAAGGGGGAAAGAUUGCUUGAGAGAAUAGGGGAUUUGAUUGUUGUUGUUUUGCUCAUUGCAAUGCAUUCGUCCACCCGACUGCCCCAGACAAAAACACAGUGUUUUAUUUGUUUUUUGCUCAAAAAUCCAGUUUAAUAAUGGGAUAUUUUGACACUUCUCAUAUACUCGACUCUCUUUUUUAUAAUAAUAUUUUAUUCUUUUUUCCAUGUGGAAAGUUACAUUUGUUACUCGACAUUUACAUUCCAAUUCACCAGAACUAGUGGCUUUCCACUCACCCAACAAAGAUGUUUCAAACUCAAAUUGCAUACAUUUGCAUUUUAAGGUUCUUUCUUAUCUGCUUUCAGCCUCUCUACAUGUUUCUUAAUAUAUUCUGCUAUUUUCCUACACUUCAAACCCCAAAAUGUUAAAAUGCUAUCACCGCAUUCAACCUUCUCCUAGGCCAAGCGUUCAGAGAAGGAGAAGGAAAUGACUACUAUAGUAGGAUUACCAGAUGUCCCCGGAUUUGCAAAUCUGUCCACGGACAAAUUCCGUUCCCGGAAUGUCUCCAGAUUUGCAAAUCUGUCCCCAGGAAAUGUGGCAGCGGCUGCCUUAGCAAUCGCCAUUUUUCCUCGUGGGAAGUCACAACACAUCAUAUGGGGACUUCCGGCGAGGCAAAAUGGCAGGCGCCACAGCAGCGAGCAGCUCCUGAAGCCAGCCAGAGUCAACUGCGCUACCAGGCUGGAUCCGGGCUGCUGACUGUGCUGCUGCUGCCACUGCUGAAGGGGAACCGGAGACGUCCAGCAGUAAAGAUCUCCUGCCCCCUUCCCCCUUUGUUUUGACUGAUCAGGGGAGGCUCUGGAGUUGUGCACGGCCAGCCGAUGUCCAGUUUUUAAAAAACUCUGCACAUUUAUGUUUCACAGGGUGCACCUUUAUACAAUAUGCAUGUGUGCUUGGGCCCAGGGUCUUUUGCCUCACCAUCCCCACUAUUGACUCCAUGUUGCUACUCAGCUUAAAAAAAAAAGUGUCCCCUGAUUCACUGAAAAAAUCUGGUAACUGUUAAGUUGUGGGUGAACAUAUCAGACGACACAGCGAUUCUUCAAACAGCUCUGGUUUAUUCACAGGCCAGAACAGAACAGAACUGAACUGAAGGGUUCAGCCAGCCUGCUUGUAUAGAGCUCCAGUACACCGUAACUGUAACAAUUUUCUAAAACUAUCCAAUCACUGAAUGUCACUUUCAAUCCCUUAUUUGCAUAACUAUCUACAGUAUCCCCCUGCUGAUCCAGGGUGAGAACUUCAGUACAUAACAGUAACCAUAUACUAUAGUACUAAGGAACUUCACCAACCUGCCCAAACCGCCCCACACAAACCCAAACACACUCACAGUAUGUAAAAUGGGGAAUACCUUUGUGGAAUGCCUUCCCAAGAGAACUCUGCUUCAUACUUUUCUUAUUAAGCUUUAGGUGCCAGGCUAUUAUUACUUGUCUGAGCUGUUACUGUGCAGCUACUUCGUUUCCCUCCGUUAAAAACUUUUGUACAGCAUGUUUUAUUUGUGGUUCGAUCUGACGCUUCCACAAUUUCUUUGCGUCUGCAGCUGUUUUUAUUUGCUGUUCUAUUUUAAAGUGGUUUCCAUCUCUUUUUUAAUGUUCAGAAACAUAGGACGCUGUCUUGUCCUGAGUCGGACUAUUGAUCCUUCUAGCUGAGUGGCCAAUUGAUCUAGCUAGCUCAGUGGUGUCUGCACUAAGUGGAAGCGUCUCUGUACGAUUUCAGACAGGAUAUGGUCCUAGCCCUCCAUCUCAUGGAUUGAAGUUGAAUGCAAGACAAAUGCUCUACCAAUGAACUGUAUCGCUUCCCCAUUUAUUGCGAGCUCCUGGGGUUUUUUCUUCUUUAUAAGUAGGAUUUUUUACAACAAUAAAAAGGCAGUUUUCAUAUAUAGAAUAAUAAUAAUAAUAAUAAUAAUAAUAAUAAUAAUAAUAAUAAUAUAUUUAUACCCCGGGCAUCUGGCUGGGUUUCCCCAGCCACUUUGUGCGGCUCCCAACAGAAUAUUAAAAACACGAUAAAACAUCAAACAUUAAAAACUUCCCUAAAUAAGGGUUGCCUUCAGGUGUCUUCUAAAAGUCAGAUAGUUGUUUAUUUCUUUGACAUCUGAUGGGAGGGCGUUCCAGAGGGCGAGUGCCACCACUGAGAAGGCCCUCUGCCUGGUUCCCUGUAACUUGGCUUCUCGCAGUGAGGGAACCACCAGAAGGCUUUCGGAGCUGGACCUCAGUGUCCGGGCUGAACAAUGAGGGUGGAGCAUAAAUGUGUCUACUCUGAGUAGGACUUUGUUGAAUUCCACCCACAUUAAUCAAUAUGCAUGCCUCGUGCCUUUUUCCUACAUAAAUGCAGGGCUUUUAUUUUUUCAACCAGAGCUUACAGGAGCUCAGCUCCAGCACCUCUCAGGUGGGCACCAUUGCCAUUGCCAUUCUAAGAGAACAAGGGAGAAGUUUGUUGUGAGCUCCAGCACCUCUUUUUCUAGAAAAAAUAGAAAUUUUUUUCUAGAAAAAAAUGUGCUGUUGAAGAGGAGAUUUAUAAUGUUGGAAGGGGACCUGAAGGCCCCAAUAACCGACAAUAAAUAAAGAUCAAACUCCACUUGUUUGUGUGUAUAAUUAAGUUGCAAUGGAUAGAAAAUAGAGAUUCCUGUGAACCAGGAGUUUAGAACUGGUGUCAGUCCCAGGAGGCAUGGCCCAUGACCAGGAAUAAUGGGAGUUGUAGCUCAACAACAUCUGGAGGGCUGAAGAUUCCCUACAGCUGCUGUAAAGGUUAACCCUAUUCAAGCUUUCAUUGAUGGUCUCCAUAGAGAACAAGGCCAAUCACCCUCCAACAUUCCUGCUUUGGGUGGAGAGGUCUUUGGGUGGAGGGAAAUUGGAAACUGGGACCCAGUUACAGUCCACUCCACAACCAGGAUAUAUGAUCACAAAGAAGACUUAAAACCUUCCUGCUGGGUGGGAUUCAAGGGAUCGGGGGAGAUGUCACAAGGACACAAAUAUAGCAUAGUUUAUAUAUAUGUAUAUAAAAAGGUAAAGGGUAAAGGGACCCCUGACCAUUAGGUCCAGUCGUGGCCAACUCUGGGGUUGCGGUGCUCAUCUCGCUUUAUUGGGCGAGGGAGCCGGUGUACAGCUUCUGGGUCAUGUGGCCAGCAUGACUAAGCCGCUUCUGGCGAACCAGAGCAGCGCACGGAAACGCCGUUUACCUUCCCGCUGGAGCGGUACCUAUUUAUCUACUUGCACUUUGACGUGCUUUCGAACUGCUAGGUUGGCAGGAGCAGGGACCGAGCAACGGGAGCUCACCCCAUCGCGGGGAUUCGAACCACUGACCUUCUGAUCUGCAAGUCCUAGGCUCUGUGGUUUAACCCCCAGCACCACCUGCGUCCCAUAUAUGUAUAUAUAUUCUAAAAAUGGCAGCUGAAUAUAAUCUCUCUCUACAAACAGCUUGUUCAUAUGGGAGCCAUUUUGACACCUACCCUUUGGAAUUUCACCCCAACUCCUAUUAUAUAUAAGACAGGCACCCUCUCUGUUGUCUUUCCAGUACCUACUGAAAGCCUUCCACUUCCAACAAGCCUUUUAAGUACAGCUCUUUCCCAGUCUGCACUUGUAUUGUACGUGUUUUUAGAUGUUUUCCUUCUUUUAUCAUUCGUGUGCCUGCCAGCCUGGGCUCCACUGGGAGGAAGAGGGCAGAAUAUAAAUGUAAGAACGGAAGAAAGAACUAUGGUUAACAGCGCAAGUCUGUUCAAAAGUAAGUUACAUUGAUUUCAGUGGGGCUUGCUCACAAGUAAGUGGGUACAGGAUUGCAGCUUAAAUUUCCCCCUUCUAAAAUUAAGAAAGCAUCUUUCAUCUUAGCGCUGUAGCAGAUCUGAAACGCUUUUAUAGAUGAGAAUACCUGGAACAUUUAAUGGCAGAAAUACUAUUUCGCUGGCAGUCGCAGAUCCAUACUUGUGAUGGAAAGGUUUUCACUCCUUUGUGAUAACUUGCUGUCCAAAACCAUAAGAACAUUAUUUAGGCGCAUUAAAUCUAAAACCUUCACACACUUGCCUCUAAUGUUUCUUAGGAAUGACAAUGUGAACAUUUUCAAGGGCACAGACCACAGGGAUUAUUUAUAUACGGUGUGGGCCAAGUUAAGGUAAGCAUUGACAUAAUAUUUAUAAUCUCAAAGGUUACUAAAUCAGAAAUACUGUAGAAUUCCAUUAGCAAGGCAAGCUGCAUCAAUGGGAGGUUGUGAUUUAUUCAAGUUAUAAAUUGCUCUAGAAAUGGUUAUGGUCUCCUUCAGGCUGUCCAAAUACACCUGAAGAUUCAUUAGUUUGGCAGGGUAAUUUUAGCUUAUUGGGAUGAUUAUAAGAGGAGGUGGUACUGAACUAGGUAAGGGCUCAGGAAGCUUUUUCACCUUGAGGACCACAUUGCUCCUGGGCAAGCUUCGAGGAGCCUAAUGUUAACAAUGGGUGGAGCAUUAUCGUAUGUCGUGGUCAUGUGGGAUGGUAAAAGCUUUCUGGGAAAUGAUAUAUAAUGAAAAAAAUGUUUAAAAUUGUUAUGUACUGAAGUUCUCACCGUGGGCCAGCAGGGGGAUACUGUAGAUAGUUUUCACUCAGGUCGACAUAUGCAAAUAAGGAACUGAAAGUGAUGUUCAGUGAUCGGCUAGUUACAGAAAGUUAUUACUGUUGCAUUGUAGUGGAGUGCUAUAUAAGCAGCCUGGCUGAACCCUUCACUUCAGUUCUGUUCUGGCCUGUGAAUAAACAAAAGCCGUUUGAAGAAUCGCUGUGUCAUCUGAUAUGUUCACCCACAACUUAACAAAAAUAACUUUCGUUAAAAAAGCAGAGGCUUUUUUGUUAAGCAUUAUAGACACGAAACUACCAAAAGAAAAGAAAAUGCUGUUUAUGUAAGAUAAAGGUAAAGGACCCCUGGAUGGUUAAGUCUAGUCAACGGUGACUAUGGGGUUGUGGUACUCAUCUCGCUUUCAGGCCAAGGGAACCAGCGUUUGUCCAUAGACAGUUUUCUGGGUCAUGUGGCCAGCAGGACUAAACCGCUACUGGCGCACAGAGAAAGCAUGCUUUCUAACUGCUAGGUUGGCAGGAGCUGGGACGGAGCGAAGGGAGCUCACCCUGUAGUGGGGAUUCGAACUGCCGACCUUCCGAUUGGCAAGCCCAAGUGGCUCAGUGGUUUAGACCACAGUGCCACCUGCAUCCCUGCUGUUUAUGUAUGCAACGACAGCAAGCAAGGAUGCUUCUUGCCCGGAGAUGUAAAGUACCAACCAGAGAAGAGUGGCAGACCAAGCUGAUGGAAUAUGCAGAAAUGGCAAGACUGACGGGAAAGAUCAGAAAUCAGGAAGACCAAGUAUUUUUAAAAGACUGGAAUACCCUUCUAACGUAUUUGAGAGAUCACCGUAAACGGCUGAAAUCAUUGGCAGGAAUACAAUGACCUUUGUAAUGUAACUUGGAUUUUGGAUACUAUGAUUAUAUAGAUUACAGUAAAAGAUGCAGGAAUAAAAUUAAGAAUUGGAACCCAUGGAGGAAGGGAAGGAAGGAGGUCUCAAGGUUCGAAAGAACGCUUUUCUUUUUUAAUAUGUGAAAAUGUUAUGUUUUAUGUAAAACUGAUACAAAUUUAUAUACUGUCAGAUGGCUGUUGCGGAUGCUCGAGAGUAAACAGACAGGACUCCAAGCUGUCUUUUACCUGGCUUUAUUUUGGUGCAAAUUAUUUACAGUGAAGAGCGUCAAAAGUUCAUGUCUGGCUCAAUCGCUAGCAGAAUCCAAGAGUGGUCUUUUUUUGUAUCUCCCCCAACAUAGAAGUUUUGUUAUCCCCAACCGUCUCCGCCCCUCUCUGCACCCCAGACUACUGCGCAGGAUGGGUGAUGGCAAGGGCACGUGAAGCCUCCAGAGGGCGGAGCUUUCCCUCUGCGCUUUGGAAGCUUCACGUUGCAAUCGCUGAAGCUAAGGAGCCUGCAUUCGCUCCAUAGGACGCACACACAUUUCCCCUUAAUUUUUUGAGGGGGGAAAGUGCGUCCUAUAGAGCGAAAAAUACGGUACCAUAAAUUGCUAGAUACCUCAAUGAUCACUAUCUUACCCCUUCUCUGUAUCCUGCUUAGGGUGAAGACUUAGUGAAUGAUGACAAGAAAUAGGGCCUACACCAAUAUUGUGAAGCACUUUGGCUCAUGAAGCACAAACAGUCUUCUCUCUGACUAUCUCCAGCCUAUUGAUAAAGACAUUUUUAUUCCAGUACCUUUGGCCUGCU